rnacentral:rRNA from 1 species
AGAGUUUGAUCCUGGGCUCAGGAUGAACGCUAGCGGCAGGCCUAAUACAUGGCAAGUCGAACGGUAAGCGGCCCUUCGGGGCCGCGAGAGUGGCGGACGGGUGCGUAACGCGUAUGCAACCACCCCGACUGGCGGAUAGCCGGUGGAAACGCCGGAUAACCCGCCAUGCGGCCCCCAGGGGGCAUCCCCUGCGGGUCAAAGCGGCGACGCGGUCGGGGACGGGCAUGCGUCCCAUUAGCUUGUUGGCGGGGCGACGGGCCCACCAAGGCGACGAUGGUAGGGGAUCUGAGAGGACGGUCCCCCACACUGGUACUGAGACACGGACCAGACUCCUGCGGGAGGCAGCAGUAAGGGAUAUUGGGCAAUGGGGGAACCCUGACCCAGCCAUGCCGCGUGAGGGAAGUAGGCCCUACGGGUCGUGAACCUCUUUUAUGCGGGGACAAGGACUCCCACGUGAUGGGAGUUUGAGGGUACCGUAGGAAUAAGCGUCGGCUAACUCCGUGCC